UUUUUCACGACGUCGACAGCUGCGGCGCUGCGUUGCUGCGGUGCGUGGCUCUCUCCAGGUGCUCUCUCACUAUCUCUCUCUCUUUACCUGCCGCUCCAUAUUAUGGCUAUCCUAUCUCUGUGUGUAUGGAUGGUGUAUGGCACCGCAUCGCCCUGGCAGAGGCCUAUGCUACCGACUCUCCUCUGCCGCAUGAUGCAAGAACCAGCUACCAUUUCAAUAGACCUCGCCUCAGACCCGGCCAGAGAAGGAAAGUUUGGAAAGCCAAAAAUACUUGAGGCCGCAGCACGUGCGGCGGCGGCCGAAGAGAAGUUUCUUCGCUCCGCUGUCUCUUCAGACGACGGGAUUCACUCUUUGAGUGUCUGUUAGUCAACGACCUUUAAUAUGAUAUAAAUGGAAUGUUGAUUUUGGCAUUUGGCGUCUAAUCUGCCAGAAAAUUGUUUGCUGUUUUACGGGAUUGAUUUGUUGAAUGCUUUUAUGGGACAAACAGGGUUUUUAAAACUUGCCAAUUGCUUCGGCCAACAAUCAAUAAUCAGUCGGAAUGAUCGACUAUAAUUGCCAGAUUUCUGCUUUAUUACCGCAAAGAAGAAGGUAAGAAUCUCUAAGUAUUCAUAUUUACAGGAAGAUAGUCUUAUAGUAGUCAGAUCUUAUUAUUCCAAUAAAAAGCAACGUAAGGGAAGUAGGAAGUAAGCGCCUUUGUGGCUAGUCGAGGAAUCAAAUUUCGACUAUUAACCAUAUUUAUGGCUUUCACUUAUGAGUGAGGUCUUUGAUUAAUGCGAUAUCUAUCCUAACUAUGAUCGCCCCGUAUGGGGCUUCGCUAAACAUCUUGUGUUGCUCAUUUUCCCGAAAACGCUUGUCACUGAUUAGCCCAACAGAUUCGGAAGUCUUUUACACGCAAUACAUAGUAUGAGUGUGGGCAUGUGCACAUAGUACACAUAUUUGUGGGACUUUUGUUAAACACUUGAGCGGAUUAUCAUGAAUAAGGUUGGAUUAGAGGAGCACAGGGAAACAGAGGAACGGACCCAAACCAAACAGAGCCAGGCGCGUGCAUUUGACAUUUCAAACUGUGAUAAUUCAAUUGUGGGCUGUGUACUAUUAGUAGCCCGACGAAUAUCUGGAUUAGCUAGCUCCUCGAUCAGAGCUCUCCCGUCAUAAAAAACGAACACAACUAAUAAACAAAAUAAGUGUAGCGCCUCUGCAGGCUAUACAUAGUAUCUGUGCUCCUCUGGUAAUCUAAUUGUAAGAGACACACACACACACACACGCAGAGCGGGAUUUUGUCCAGUGUCCGCGUCCGCGUUCGCGUCCGCAACCGUAACCGCAUUUAUAUAUGUACAUACAUAGGUAUGUUUGUGUGUGUGUGUGUAUUUAUGUAGAGUGGGUUCGGGCCCCCGUUUGCAGUUGAUUAACUGUGAUUUCGUGUGACUUUUAUUGUUGUCGGGUUUAUUUUACGUUAUUUUUUUUCAAGUUUUGCGCGCCACUCACACAUCGAAGUCCACAGAAUAUAUGCUCAUGUGGAAGGAAGGAGAAAUAUGAUGGAUCACUUCCAUAUGCAAUUUUCGUUAAUAUUUUCUGUGUCGCUUUCAUUAUGCCACGAGUCAUGUGUUUUCAUGAUCAACAUUUAUAGUGUAACAUAAAUUUGGAUAUAUAUCCUUCAGAAAUCAGAAACAACUCUCGUGGAACGCAACACCGGAAUAUUGUAUCUAAAAAAAACGUACUGCUUGCGCGCCCCAAGAGAUUUACUUGUGCGAGUAUCCCGCUCUAUGGAGAACCAUAGAGAACCAGACGCACUCAAAACCCGAAUCGGACUGAAUCUGAUUUUCAUCGGCGGGGCAUGCACUACCGAAAAGCUUUAAUAAAAUAAUAAAACAACAAAAUAAACACAAAUAUGUAAAU